rnacentral:lncRNA from 1 species
UUGGUGUAGUUGCCGAUUUACUCUCUCCUCAACUUGUAGGGUUAACGCAUAUUGGAAGUGAAGGUGAUAUAUAAUAGAAGUACUGGAGGAGAUCUUCACACGUGUCCAUGUUAACCGACAACCUCUAGAUCCGGUGUCCGUCAAAGUGGGUUUUACCAGUCCAUCGGUGGACAACAAGCAAUUCUGUCGGUUGCUAGCUCCUCCCGG